AUGUUCACAAAAGAAAAUGCAUUAGGUUCUUCGGGGGAAUCUGAGCCACGGAGAGGAACUGCCUCCGGCUCGUCGGAUAAACAAGCGCUCCUGCAGAAUGCCUUCACUGAAGUCUUUCCAGUGUCACUGCAUAUUCGACGUGACCGCAACAUGACCGAAAACAGAGUCCGCAGAGUAAGAAGAAGCAGCAGCAGCUCUGCCCCUGCUCACACGGAAGACUCCGUCUCUCUGCCUCCAAACGUUCUGAAGGCCGCUCAUCUUUCUUCUCUCAGAGAUCUGGUGUCACACCAGAAAAUCACAGGUUGCGCAACUGCACCACACCUCCUCACUCACACAGCCACAGAGCGAUGAGGGGAAAAAAGAUUUUUGUCUGAACUGAAGAUAAGCUGACCUGGACCAACUCCUGCAUUUGUGUGUUGAGUCUGCAUGUUCUCCCUGUGUAUGUGUGGGUUCUCUCUGGACAAAGGCAAUAACACUAAAUCAAAAGCCGUGUCACACUCCCAUCUAGAGCUCACAAGAUGGCAGCAGAAGUAUUGAAUUUUAGCUCAAGUUGCUGCUUCUUAAAUGGGAUUAUUUUUAUGCCAGCGCUACUGAAAUGAUUCACUGUUAGAAGCAUUAACAGGGUGGGGAAGCCUGAAGAGCAAAAUACUUUGUUUCACAACAUCAGACCCAUCUUCAUACUGUGUUUGUCAAACGGUCAAUAAGAGCAAAUAAUCAGGGGGGGUUUUAGAUCAAUUGCGAAGAAAGGAUAAUGAAUGAAAGCAUGUGGUGAGUCAAAUAAAUAGAGAGAGAAAGAGGGAAACACACAUUCCUUUAGUCAUCUCAUUGUGGAGCAGUGAAAAAAAUCUUCACUGCAACUAUCAUUCUUUCAAGGAGGGACAUUUUUAUUCACUGUAUGAAAUGUGGUCUGACUUGACUAUACAGGAGUGAAAAUCUCUGGGAUAAAUCAGUUGAAAUAUUUAUUUACAUGGUAUAUUUCAAUUCAUCAGUGACACACCAAAUGACAUUGCUCUCUGUUACUUAAUAAAAAAUCUAAAAUUAGUUCAAUAUAAGCCAGCUUGCUAUAUUUGUUUGCCCCAGACCUGUCAAAACAGUUGUUUAUAAUUCUUUCUUUCUUUCUUUCUUUUUUUAAGUUCGCUUAGGUCUUCGUGUGUCUCUCAGUGAUCCUUUUGACCCUCAGUUCCUCCUCUCCCUGAGCAAAGAGGUCAGUGGAUUAAACAGCACACCCUAGAUAAUUUUAAGGGGCAUGUAAUAUAUCAUUCCCUCGUGUCUGCUCAGAAAAUAAAUGUGUUUCAUUUUGUUGCGAGGGAUUAUAGAUAUAUUCAACUUCAAAAUUGAAAUCAUUAUUGGUUGAAGAAAAAAAGUUAAUAUCAACAGUGCUUUUUCCCCCUCCCCAUAAGAUGUAAAACUAAACUUCGCAAGUUAGAUUACAAUGACCUGAUAAACACGUGUGUGUGAAGAUUUUUGCUGGAAGAGGAGCCAAACAACAAAGUCGCCGCCCAACUAAACAAUGUUCACUGAGUCUAAAGGUCAGAGGCUGAAAUCUCUGUGUUGGUUUUGGUCAGACUCUGAUAUGUUGGUUAUCCGUCAGUAAACAGUGAGGCAACCCCACAGACACUCAGUCAUUUCACUUGUAUUUAAAUCUGUGAAUUUAAUUGGCAUUUUCAGACUGACGGCUCCCUUUGACAGGAUUGUGUGGAUUAAAAGAUUAGAGUCUCAAGAACCCGAGUGACCGCUGAUGUGGUGGAGCACCACUGAAACUAUGUCGCGAGUUAUGUAGAAGAGGGCAGGUGGGACAUGUGAAGCCAUUGAGUUGAAGUCGCUGCUUACGACUCUGCCUUUGUUUUCUGCUUUUCUUUGGCAUAAGCCGGGAAUCUACAACACCGGAGGGAAGGCCGGACUCUUUUCGAUGAGAAUUGUGGGAAUAAAGAAAGCAACUUCUGCACCCUGAGAUUGCCUCUUCCACACUCAACCUCAGGAUUAUAUAGGAGGAAUUCAUGGAGAAAAAAAAUAAUCAUUCUCUUUCUUUUCUGAACACCGUGUUACUGCUGUUGUUUCUUAAAAUAUGUAUUUUUUGAUUAAAGAUUGUUUAAUCAUCCAUUAAAGAUUAACUUAAUUGGUGCAGCCCUGUGUCUUAUGCGGUGACUGACAGUUGGCCCCGCCCAUGGAGCGGAACAGCCAAUAGCAACAGACGCAGAGCAUUCAUUCCCUCCCUCUUAUUGGUGUUUCCAUGAUGUGCUUCUGAUGACCGUGAGGAAGUUUUCCCUGCACGUCGCCGGCUGUGGUGAGUGAUCUGACUGUUCAUUGUAGAUCAUUAUUUUUUUAAAAACGGAAUCCG
rnacentral:lncRNA from 1 species